UGUGUGUUAGUGGAAGCGUCUGGAAAGGCGCGCGAUACAGGGUGACAGCCCCGUACACAAAAAUGCACAUGCUGUGAGCUCGAUGAGUAGGGCGGGACACGUGGUAUCCUGUCUGAAUAUGGGGGGACCAUCCUCCAAGGCUAAAUACUCCUGACUGACCGAUAGUGAACCAGUACCGUGAGGGAAAGGCGAAAAGAACCCCGGCGAGGGGAGUGAAAAAGAACCUGAAACCGUGUACGUACAAGCAGUGGGAGCACGCUUAGGCGUGUGACUGCGUACCUUUUGUAUAAUGGGUCAGCGACUUAUAUUCUGUAGCAAGGUUAACCGAAUAGGGGAGCCGAAGGGAAACCGAGUCUUAACUGGGCGUUAAGUUGCAGGGUAUAGACCCGAAACCCGGUGAUCUAGCCAUGGGCAGGUUGAAGGUUGGGUAACACUAACUGGAGGACCGAACCGACUAAUGUUGAAAAAUUAGCGGAUGACUUGUGGCUGGGGGUGAAAGGCCAAUCAAACCGGGAGAUAGCUGGUUCUCCCCGAAAGCUAUUUAGGUAGCGCCUCGUGAAUUCAUCUCCGGGGGUAGAGCACU
rnacentral:rRNA from 1 species